rnacentral:rRNA from 1 species
UACGUAGGGGGCAAGCGUUGUCCGGAAUCAUUGGGCGUAAAGCGCGUGUAGGCGGUUCGGUAAGUCGGCUGUGAAAGUCCAGGGCUCAACCCUGGGAUGCCGGUCGAUACUGCCGGACUAGAGUUCGGAAGAGGCGAGUGGAAUUCCCGGUGUAGCGGUGAAAUGCGCAGAUAUCGGGAGGAACACCAAUGGCGAAGGCAGCUCGCUGGGACGUUACUGACGUUGAGACGCGAAAGCGUGGGGAGCAAACAGG